rnacentral:rRNA from 1 species
UACGUAGGGGGCAAGCGUUGUCCGGAUUUAUUGGGCGUAAAGCGCUCGCAGGUGGUCCGCUGCGUCGUGCGUGAAAGACCCCGGCUCAACUGGGGGAUGUCGUGCGAUACGGGCGGACUGGAGGCCAGUAGGGGGAUGCGGAAUUCCGGGUGUAGUGGUGGAAUGCGUAGAGAUCCGGAAGAAGACCGGUGGCGAAGGCGGUCUGCUGGCGAGUACCUGACACUGAUGCGCGACAGCGUGGGGAGCAAACAGG